AGUGAACGCUGGCGGUAGGCCUAACACAUGCAAGUCGAACGGCAGCACAGUAAGAGCUUGCUCUUACGGGUGGCGAGUGGCGGACGGGUGAGGAAUACAUCGGAAUCUACUUUUUCGUGGGGGAUAACGUAGGGAAACUUACGCUAAUACCGCAUACGACCUACGGGUGAAAGCAGGGGAUCUUCGGACCUUGCGCGAUUGAAUGAGCCGAUGUCGGAUUAGCUAGUUGGCGGGGUAAAGGCCCACCAAGGCGACGAUCCGUAGCUGGUCUGAGAGGAUGAUCAGCAACACUGGAACUGAGACACGGUCCAGACUCCUACGGGAGGCAGCAGUGGGGAAUAUUGGACAAUGGGCGCAAGCCUGAUCCAGCCAUACCGCGUGGGUGAAGAAGGCCUUCGGGUUGUAAAGCCCUUUUGUUGGGAAAGAAAAGCAGCAGGUUAAUACCCCGCUGUUCUGACGGUACCCAAAGAAUAAGCACCGGCUAACUUCGU
rnacentral:rRNA from 1 species